AUUGAACGCUGGCGGCAGGCCUAAUACAUGCAAGUCGAACGAGUGGCGGACGGGUGAGUAAUGUCUGGGAAACUGCCUGAUGGAGGGGGAUAACUACUGGAAACGGUAGCUAAUACCGCAUACCAUCAGAUGUGCCCAGAUGGGAUUAGCUUGUUGGUGGGGUAACGGCUCACCAAGGCGACGAUCCCUAGCUGGUCUGAGAGGAUGACCAGCCACACUGGAACUUGAACAGGGUCCAGACGCCUACGGGAGGCAGCAGUGGGGAAUAUUUCACAAAGGGCGCAAGCCUUAAGCAGCCAUGCCGGGUGUAUGAAGAAGGCCUUCGGGUUGUAAAAUACUUUCAGUGAGGAAGCGUUACCCGACGAAGAAGCACCGGCUAACUCCGUGCCAGCAGCCGCGGUAAUUC
rnacentral:rRNA from 1 species